AGGAGUAUAGCUCAGUGGUAGAGCGUUCGACUGCAGAUCGAGAGGUCCCCGGUUCUAAUCCGGGUGUUUUUU
rnacentral:tRNA from 1 species